GACGAACGCUGGCGGCGUGCUUAACACAUGCAAGUCGAACGGAAAGGCCCUGCUUUUGUGGGGUGCUCGAGUGGCGAACGGGUGAGUAACACGUGAGUAACCUGCCCUUGACUUUGGGAUAACUUCAGGAAACUGGGGCUAAUACCGGAUAGGAGCUCCUGCUGCAUGGUGGGGGUUGGAAAGUUUCGGCGGUUGGGGAUGGACUCGCGGGUUAUCAGCUUGUUGGUGGGGUAGUGGCUUACCAAGGCUUUGACGGGUAGCCGGCCUGAGAGGGUGACCGGCCACCAUGGGACUGCGAUACGGCCCAGACGCCUACGGUAGGCAGCAGUGGGGAAUCUUGCGCAACGGGCGGAAGCCUGAUGCAGCAGCGCCGCGUGCGGGAUGACGGCCUUCGGGUUGUAAACCGCUUUCGCCUGUGACGAAGCGUGAGUGACGGUAAUGGGUAAAGAAGCACCGGCUAACUACGUG
rnacentral:rRNA from 1 species